CCCUACGGGGUGCAGCAGGCGCGAAAACUUUACAAUGCGGGAAACCGUGAUAAGGGACUCCGAGUGCCCGUAAAUCGGGCUGGUCCAUCUGUUUAAAUAACAGGUGAAGAAAGGGCCGGGCAAGACCGGUGCCAACCGCCGCGGUAAUACCGGCGGCUCGAGUGGUGGCCACUAUUACUGGGCUUAAAGCGUUCGUAGCUGGUCUGUUAAGUCUCUGGGGAAAUCUACUGGCUUAACCAAUAGGCGUUUCAGGGAUACUGGCAGACUAGGGACCGGGAGAGGUGAGAGGUACUCCAGGGGUAGGAGUGAAUCCCUGUAAU
rnacentral:rRNA from 1 species